ACAUCCCCAUGUUUCUUCUUUGCCUAGGAAGGGCCUGCUCCUUCUAGGCCGGCUCGAAUGUCCCUUUCUUUUUGGGAAGUCUUUUCCCUGUGCCUCCUUUGACCCUCGGCUCCCAUUGUGGGAGGUGUGUGCCUGUGUUUUCGCGUGUGUGUUGUCUUUAGCUGAUUUCCAGUUUCUCCUUCACUUGCUGAGUGUGAUGUGGUCAAAGGAGCACAGGCUCUUUCCCACGACACACACCUCGGGCUGCAUUCUGACUCAGCCACUGUGGAGGCGUGUGACAUUGGCACGUAGCCCCUUUGUUCGUGAGUGGUGUUUGGGUUCUCCUCUCUGCCUCCCUGGGUCAGAUGAGAUCACAUCAUUAAGACACCUGAUACAUUUCUCAGUGGGGAAUCAUUUGGCAAAAUGCCCCCCGGGGCUCUCCACUGCCCUUAGUCCGAGAGGCACUAGGCAGGGCCAUUCCAAUUGUAUUUGUUUUCUGUUGCUGACAUAACUAGUUACUGCAAACUCAGUAGUUUUGACAACACAAGUUGAUGAUCAUCUUACAGUUUGGUAGGUCAAAAGUCAGACACAGCCUUAUCCAGUAAGGGCAGGGUUGUGUCCUGGAGGCUCUAGGGGAUAAUCAGUUUCCUUGCUUGGUUUGGGUUGUUGGCAUACUUUACCUCCAGGAGGUUGUAAGACUGAGGUUCCCGUUUCCUUGCUGGCUGUUGCCUGGGGCCACCCUGAGCAGAUAGCAGUCUGUCUCAGGUCCUUGCGUGGGGCUCCCUAGAGCUCAGCACCAGGCAUGAGACAUCACAUCUCAUUCCGCCCCCUCUGACCAAUCACAUCCAUAAAGGCCCUUUUGCCAUGUGAGAUAACAUAUGCACAGUCCCGGGGACUACAGUGUAGACAUUUUGAGGGGCCCUUAUUCUGCCUGCUACACCUAUCAUGCCUCUAAACUCUCUGAAAUAUCACUGUGAAUGUUAUUCCCUUCCUUGAUGAUCCUGUGGUCGUUGUCUGCCAAAGAAUCCUUUGUUUCUGUGAUACCAGACAGCUCUUCUUGCACACAGUGAGCGAGGUAGUUGUUGGUUGUUUUUGGUAGCCCAGAUCUGGUCCUCCUCCUUUGGGUAAUGGUACCCUGAUCCUCUAGCCCCACUUCUCUGUGUUUGUGAGGUGGUACUUAGCCGGCCGGCCAGCUCAGGGGUGGUUGGUGGGCCCUGAUGACACAGCUUAAGAGUGAUUGGGCCAGGGAUGGGGACCCGCCCCACACCAGGCCCCUGAGACAUUGACCUGGGACGUUUGCUGGAACUAUUGGGCAGGAGGCCUUUCUCCUUCCAGUGGGACAGACGAUUGGAUAGAAAGGCAGCCCAGAGAUGGAGGUGGUUAUCUUGACAUCACCAGGAGAGGGAAGAACCUGCCAGAGAAUGAGGCCAACCUGGAAAAUCAAAGCAGACCUAAAAAAUGGAAACUGAUAGAUUUCUGCUGACCUAGUUUGAGCCCCUGGAUUUAGAAUUUUCUGAAGCCUGAUGUGUACCUGGACUUUUAAGUUAUAACAUCUCAAUAAAUUCCCUUUUUUGUCCUUAGCAGUGUUCAGUUGGGUUUGUGAUGACUGUGUGUCCUGACUAUAACCGUGAGCGAAGGUGGAAUCCCAGAGCUGAUGCGUUCAGAUAAUGGAGCUCUCUCUUCCAGGUCUUCACUGAGAUUUUGUGGAAGGACUUUUUGCUCCUGGUGGUGCUUGUUAUUAUUUCUCCAGAGUUUUUCCGAGGAUUCUCUGUUCCUACAACUUAGUGGAAGAACUUCUUUUUAGGGACACCUCUAGUUUCAGUGGUUGUUUAUUCAUUUUUUAAAAAUUUUAAAUGAAUCAUUCUGUGCCAAGCUGCAAUAAGAAGGUGUGUGUGCUUCUAGGGAGAUGUUGGCAGGACAGUGAAGAGCUAUGCCCCGGGGACAGAGCAGGCUUUGAGCAAGGGACGAGGAGGAAGGAGCCCUGCCCGCUCCCCCUCCUGUCUGUUCCCCAGGCAGUCUGCUAGCCAGACCCAGUGCUCACAGACAGACCUAGAAGGACACUCAGCACAAGCCAUAGCCGGGGAUCCCCCGACAUUUGAGGAAAACCAACCUGCUGAACGGGACGAGAAAAUAACAUGGAAGGAAACAUGAAUCAGAUAAGUAGGACAGAGAGGCAGAGGGAGAAGCAGGCUCCCAAGGAGCAGAGAGCCCGAUGUGGGACUCGAUCCCAGGACCCUGGGAUCAUGACCUGAGCCGAAGGCAGACGCUUAACCAUCUGAGCCACCCAGGCGCCCAAGCUAAGUUAGUUCUUGAUGCGUCCACUGCAGUGUGGGACUUGUAACGGGUGUGAAAGAGCCUCAGUGCAAGGGAGGGAGCGAAGCUCUAGCAAAAUCUUGCUCCAAUAUGUCUAAAGCCAAAGGUUUCUACAGGAUGGCCUGUGUCUGCCCUUAUCAGGACCACUUCCGCCUUCACUCUGUCUCGGUAGAUGGACGAAGGAUUUUAUGAUUCCACCACAGUCUCUCAACUCGGUUACAGGUAUUGUGUUCCAGUUAGAAGUGCCCACCGGUUGCUCAUCAACUGCAUACUGAAUCUGGAUCUUCUUGAAGAGAGCUGAAGUUCUCUUAAAGGACCCAAACGUUUGCUAAGAGAUGAUUUUAAAGCUCAAUGAAGGAAGGAGCAGAUAAAACUACUUCCAUUUUAUGGUGGUUGCAGAAGGUGCGGGGCUUGUCCGAGUUCAUGUUGACUGGAGAAAGAGACUAUUCAGUUGGCACUUUCUAGGUCUGGAGUCGAAGUGACGUCCCUUUACCCCAUGCCACUAUUGUCUGAUAGCACUCAGAGUCGACCUACCCAUCUGAGCCCAAGUCAUGGAGGGACUGGCCUGGAAAGAGAUCCUAUUUUGAUUUUCUGUGAAAACAACUCAUGUAGUUUCCGUUUUCCUGACUGGCCCCCAAUUGAUUGAAACACAUCCCUUUGAGACCGAUUACACGUGUAGGGCUGGCUGUGAAAGGAUGAAGUUUGUUCUUGGAUCCAGGACACCUUUCCAGGCUCUGACUCCCAGAUGCUUCUGGCAGCCCCAGGCUCCACACCACCCUGCCAGCCUUCCAUUCUUUUCUCUCCGUCACCCACACUCCAGGGGCUGCGUUCUGCUGGGUGACUGUACCUGGUCAUGGAUGUUGAACCUUGCCACUCCCCCAAGAGGGGAGGUGAGGACUAUGCUCCCUCCCCUUGAACCUGGAUGGGCUUUUGUGACUGCCUUGACUAGAAGAGUAUGGAGGAAGCGAUGCUCUGAGUCUUCUGAUGCUAGAUCAGAAAAGGUCUCUCUCUCUCCACUUUCUCUGGCGCCCCGAGCCUCCACGUGAGAAGUCUGGCUACUGGAAGCCACCAUGCAGGAGAGUCCACAGAGCAAAUAUCUAUAUAUCUCAUGAUAUAGAGACAGUAUGGCGGUUGAGGAGCCCUGCCGUUCAGCCAUCAGCUCUUGGAGUCUUCUCAGCCCGGGUGCCAGACACACGAGCGAACCUUCAGGGGGUUCUAGCCCCACUCACCACCUAACUACAGAGGGGACCCUAAGGGAGAAUCCCCAGGUCUAUGAGGUGGGAGAAGUCAGGGAGGCCAGGUGGCCUGCGCCAGAGCUUGAAAGUUGUAAGUGGCUGAGGGGGCUCUGGAACCCGGCUCUGUCUUCAUUCUGAGCCCUGUGCUCUUUCCUUCAUGCCAGCCGCCUAACCGAUCACUAGCUCUGGGCCUCAUUGCCUUGCAGCUCGACGUCUGCAACAGCUUUGUGACCUGUCCCCCGACCCCAGUCCGUGCCGCUCCAGUAUCUUUCAUACCAUUGCCAGGUGUGCUGGAAGAUGGACUCUCCUCCACUGGUGUGCCCCGAUCUACAGCCCCAGGUGGAAUCUCCAACCCAGACAAGAAGAUGAGCUGUGGGACCCAGUGCCCGAAUCCCCAGAGCCUCAGCUCAGGUCCUCUGACCCAGAAACAGAAUGGCCUUCGGACCACGGAGAACUGUCUCCUCAGGUAUUCAGCUAAGGUAGAAAUGUAUGUGUGGAUACAGCUCUGAGCAGACGAAACUUGAGUGUGUGGCUGGCCUCCCGAUGAGCCCGCAUGUCUUCGGAAGCUGCAUCAUUGCUAAAAGAGAUGCUAAGCGAAUGUCUGCAAAAGAAGUCACCAUUAACGUUACAGACAGUAUCCGACAGGUGGACAGAAAUCGAAGAAUGGCGAAGAACUGUGUUAACUAGCAGAGUGUUCUACUAGAAGGGCGGACGGACUUCUUUGGUGCCCUCCACAUGCUGGACCCCGUCAAGGAGUCUCAAAGAAGUGGGUGGCCCUUGCUGGGUGUGAAGAAUGCUGCUGCUUGAGACGCUCUUACCUGGCAGGCCAGUGGCCGCCUGGGCUUUUGGGACAUUCUCUGCCUCCUACUUACCACGUUGAUGAAUUGGCACAGUACUUGCCUAGGGUAAUAAGCUGCAAAUGUGCAGUUUGCCUCUUUGCAACUCCUGCAGUGUGGUCUGAUGGAAAAGUGGUGAGCGAAAGCCACAGGUGGCUGAUGAAACAGAGACAAGUAGGAGUAGGUUCCCUGGUGAGAGAUGCUCACGUGGGUUCUGAGCUCUCCCGCGCGUGGCCGUGUGCACUGUUGCGGGCCAGCUAGUUCUUUCAUUCGUUCCUUCGGAAUACCGCCAAUACCGCCAUCAGAAAGCUUACCGUGUUCACUUAACAGCUGUCUUUCACCCAACUGCAAACCCAGAUAUAGGAGAAAUCACGAACCAGGAAAACUCCCAGCUCUACUUGUUUCCUUAGCUCAGUAGGAGACAGAUUCAGAUCCCCUGUCACACAAACUAACCCCCCCAACACCCACAGCGUGUUUUGGGAGCUCUCCAUGAGGCAGUCACACCCAUUUCUCAUCUGCCUUCCAUGUCCGCCCCCCAUACCGGUGUCCACGUCAGCCUCCGUACCACAAUACCGCGGUCACCAUGGUCCACGCACCCAACCUGGGACGCCCUUCAGGGCUCAGCCAGACACCGCAUUUACAGAGCUUUCCAGGUCUCUCUGCUUGUGCUCUUGGUGUUUGUUCUCUCUAGGUGGGUCAUUUGCAAUUGUUGAUCAAAGCGCGGGCAUAGCUCACAAGAGGGCGAUGAUCCAGAACCCACCAGCAGCAUACACGGCUUCGCUCUGGCCUCUUGACCACGGCGCCAGGACUGUGCCAUGUGCUGUCUGUGAAGGAGUUGUUUUAGAAAGCCCGGACCUGGUUGCUGUGCAUUCACGUUGACAUGAGACUGAUGCGCCCUGUGUUAGACAUCAGAGCAAAGGCAGUGGCCAUCUUUUGAAUUGUGCUAUAAUAUUAAAAUUCUUUUGAAGAACAGGAAAGUGAUGGCCUGAGACAGCUGGGUUGUCAAGGAGAAAGGUAGCAUGCAGAUGGUAGCACCGAGCCAUGGAGGCCUCUCAGCCACCGUUUCUGGAAAGGAACAAAAUGGAAUCGAAUUUUUUCCUCGUUAAAAAAAAACUUAGCAGGUGGAAAGAAUGAGGAUCGCUUGGCAUGGAUGGUUUGCAAUAUGGCUGCACAGUGGAAUCACCUGGGGAGCUUUCGAAAACAAUUUAUGCCUGGGUCCCGCCCCAGAGAUUCUGGUUUAAUUUGUCUGGGGUGCAAAUCUGCAGGGGAAGAGGUUUCAAAAUUCCCUAGAGGGUUCUCGUGCACAGCCAGGGCUGAGAACUACUGGCUUAGCUGAUCACAGACAGAAUUAGUGUCUCCAAAACGCUGUGAGUGGAUCUUAAAUCCGAAUCCCUGGGUUUGAAUCCCAGUUUCACCACUUACUAGCUUUGUGACCUUGGGCAAGUCAUUUAACUUCUUUAUGCUCUGGUCUGCACAUUUAUAAAAUGAGGCUAAUUGGUAGCCCAAGGUAGCGGGGGCAUUUAGUAAGGCUCUGUCUGUAAAGCCCUUAGCACGCUGCCCAGCAUAUGAAGAUAAACACAGGGUUAUUAAUUACUGUUGAACUGUGCUACAACCCUGAAAUUCCAGGACAUGGGCAAGGCCUGACAUAUAAAACUCAGCUCAAGGGUAAAUGUACCAGAGAGCUGGGCCCUUAUUUGAGCACGUUGUAUCCUCCAAUUCACCACAAAUGUACCUUUUUUCAAGAUAGGCACUUCUUAUUAUAAAGGAGAUUUCAAAAUGGAGCUAGCAAGCAUAGCUGAGAAAAAUCUCUUUGAAAUUGGGUUGGGAGGCCAUAAGGGAGGAAGAAUUUACGGGCGUCCUCAUCAGAGAAACUAUGAACUUUUUGUCAGCUGCAAGCCCUUGGCAAGGACCUAACUCCCUCCUCACCAUGACACCUGACUCAUUCGCAUUCCUCACUUUGAAAAGAGCCCAUGUGAUUUGACAAGUUUUAUUCCCUCAUUUUCGUAUUAACCCAACCAAUCCCACACCACAGUUUCAAUCCCUGUUCUGCACAGAGGAUCUAAAUGAGAACUGCACACAUGACCUCUGUCUUUCUAACUCUGCUCUUCUUUGUCUUCCUUGGAACAGGAGUCAGGUUUCCACCUGAAGCGGUGCCUCCCGAAUUGCAAUUCUAAUUGCCCACAUAAAUGCCUGUUUACUUAAAUUUUCAGUGAAUUCUUUCUUGGUCAUUAUUCAAUACAAAAUGUACCUGGGGCACCAUGGGAUGAGGAGAGCAGCCACCUUCAAGAAAUUGUCCUAAGGAACAUGUCCUUGGCUCUGGGCAGAAAAACUGACUCCGAAUAAUGCAGAAGAAAACUUGCUUCCUUGGCUUUAGGCUGUAAGGGGUUGGUGUUUCCCUUUAAAGGUGUCUGAGCUUCCAUUUGCAAGCUCUCUGGAGUUAAACUGGUAACUAGCAAGUGAGACAUGAUUUUAGAUGUAAGGGAGUCCCUAGUGAGGAGCUGUCUGGCAGUGGAUUGGGGAUUUUCACAUAUUUGUUUUGCACCAAUAAAAUGUCUGGAACCUGGCAUCAAAGAUGCAAAGCUGUUCUCUGGGAAGGGAGAAUGCUCAGCUCCAGCCCGUGUGCCAAAGCUGGUGAUGUCCCCUGCAGGCCCAGGCAUGCUUCCCAACCACCACCUUCGCCCCCAGGCCACCACGCCUCCUGGGUUUCUGCAGACCUCUCCUUACCUCUCUGCCUCCCUGUUUGCCUGAAAUCCAGGCUCCACACUGCUGGCAAAAUGACCUUUCUAGAAUUGUUCACUGCCCUCAAGAUCCAGACUCAGUAAGACUGGCUUACUGAAUAUUCACUUCGAACUCUGGCUCCUUCUACCACCUUUAGCCAGUGUCUGCAUGUGGAUCGGAAAAUCCUUUUGCAUCUUCUCGUGGGGAAAAUAGAAGACCAUCUUAUGUCUGAGGUCACUUUCUUUGUGGCAGCGAUUCGCUGGAUGCAUGUAAAGGAAACAUCAAUCAUGUCCUCUCAUCUAGCUUCUGUCUCCCUGGCUCCAGCCCAAGCUACCCAGCUCCACGAUGCAAUCUUCCCAAGGAAGGGUUUCGGUGUGGUGGGAAUAUCAAGGGACCCCUGUAGAUUUCCAUCCCUGCCACCUUCAAAUCCGCCCAAGUAUUUUAAUCUAUCUGAGCCUCGUUUAUCUAAUCUGUAAAACAAGGACACUCAAUAAACAUUGAUUAUAGUAGUCCUCCCUUAUCUGUGGUUUCACUUUCCACUGCUUCUGGAAGCAGAUAAUCCUUUUGACCUGUCCUCAGAAGGUCAAUGGUAGCCUAACGCGAUGUCCCAGUGCCUGAGUCAUGUGUCAGUCACAUCACUUCAUCUCAUCCCAUAGGCAUUUUAUCAACACAAGAAGGAUGAAUACGGUACAGGAAGAUUUUGAGAGAGGGAAACCACAUUCAGAUAAUUUUUAUUACAGUAUAUUGUUAUAAUUGUUUCUAUUUGAUUACUGUUGUUGUUAAUCUCUUACUAUGCCUAGUUUGGAAAUUAAACUCUUUCAUAGGUAUAUAUGGUACAGGAAAAACCGUAGUGUAUAUGGGGUUCACUACUUUCCACGGUGUCAGAAAUCCGUUCGGGGUUUGGGAACAUAUCCCCCGGGGAUAAGGGGGGGCUACUGUAAAUCAGAAACUUCCCUGCUCUAAAUUUUCAGUAGCUCUCAUUGCCUGACUUAAGAACCAGUUUCUCAGUCUUUCAAAGCCCUCCUUCCCUUGCAGCUCUAACCAAGCUGCACAUAUUUUGUGCUUCAGAUCAGGCUCCUUGCAGCGCUCCGAGUGCCCAUUACACAUUCUUCCUUUGGCUCAAGUCUCCUCUGGCACAUCCUCUCCCCACCGCGAUGGGAAUCUUACUGAUCUUCCGAGGUUCAGUGCCAGUGAUAACUCAUUCUUCAAUGAAAAUUUCUUAAUCCCCUCAACCAAAUGUAACCUCUCUUUCCCCUGAACACCCCAGGGCUCUCUCUAGAGCUUCUGGCACCAAUCUAUCCCUAUCAUAGAUGUUCUUAUGCUCGUCUAUAAAGUGAUAAAGAUACUUCACUUUAUGGGAAGGGCCUUAGCUCCAUAGAAGGUACUGUGUUGAGCAUUCUGUAUGCUCAGCAAAUGUUUAUUAGACUGAAAGCACUAGUGGGACAUAGGGAUUAGAGAAGUCCAUGACCUAAAUGCUUACUUAGGAAGUCAUGAAUUCAUUUGUCAUUUAUCAAGCAUUUACUGAGUGCUUUUAAGUCCUGUGGGCAUAGAAAGAAUUUUAAACAGAGAUCCAACUCCUCAUGAUCUCAUAGCCUAAUCAGACAGCUAAAAUAUAGAACGAUAAACACAAUAGGAAAUCAGAAGAUAAACACGAGUAUAAAGACUUUAUUAUUGCUGACUAUUUUUUUUUUUUUUAAGAUUUUAUUUAUUUGCGAGAGUGAGAGAAUGAGAGACAGAGAGCAUGAGAGGGAGGAGAGUCAGAGGGAGAAGCAGACUCCCCGCCGAGCAGGGAGCCCGAUGCAGGACUCGAUCCUGGGACUCCAGGAUCACGACCUGAGCCGAAGGCAGCCGCUUAACCAACUGAGCCACCCAGGCGCCCCUAUUAUUGCUGACUAUUAUAAAACUCCUUAAAAGACUCUAUUUUAGUCUUUGUAAAAUCCCAGCAUCUAGAUAUAUACACCUAGCCAUGGUAGCUUAGAAAAGGGAGCAAAGAAUUUUUACUUCCAAAUGCCUACUAAGUGCCGUGCAAUGCAUAGACAUUAUCUCAUUGUCAGAGAUCUUGGGGGAUAUUAUUAGUAUCUUCAUUUUAUAGAUGAGGAAACUUGGUUUAAGAUUUGUUGUGUAACUCGGAGAAGGUCGUACAAUUAGAAGUUCUUAGCCAGCUUUUAAACCCAGGACUCUCUGAUAUCAUUCGGCCUGUGAUAUCCCUUUCCGGUCAGCAGUCAGACCACUACCUGAAGGCUCCUGAGUGGCCUAAACGUCGUGUAGGCAUCUAUUCUAGGGACUGGAACUACUGAUCGGAAGCUGUGAGAACUUGCCCCUUGCCCUGAAGACCCAGACGUCAAAGGAACCAGGGAUACUUGGCCUGGAGACAAUAAGAUCCAGAGGAACUAUUCUACCAGGAAAGGGAAGCAAUAUCUGACUUGCUCCCGUUUCAAGAUGCAUUUGCCCCUGGUCCUUCAGAAUCGAUUUGCUGUACCAUGAUGGGCAGUGGUCAGCAGAAGCUCAGGGCUCCAGGGAUGACACAGAAGGCUGAAAAUUCUCAUUCUCCUGCCAAGUUCUUAUUUACCACUGAGGUAAUCUGGAGAAAAUAGCUUGAGACUUUGUGCUCAGUUUCCUCCUCUGGAUUCAAGUUGGAGAAAACAAUGCUAAUUACAUUUCUAACAGCAGUGAAUACAUUUGAAAGUCAAGCUCUUUUGCUAUGAGAAGUUUUUGUCAUAAUUAAGGAGUGUGCCAUACACUAGUCAUACGUAAGAUUUGGAUCUGUACUAAUUUGGGUGGGAGUGGGACCGAGGGUGUCAGUAUAUUUGAAAAAGCUCCCCAGGUGACUCUGGUCUGCAGCCGGGGUUGAGAAUGGCUCGUUGAGGGGAAAGGACACGGGCUGUGGAGUUAGACUUUUGUUCAAACCCUGGGUCUGCAUUUUCUAGUUGUGUGACUUAAGGUGGAUUUAUUAAUGAUUUAAAGCCUCAAUUUUCUCCUUUGUCGAGGAAGAUGAAGUAGAGCUUAAUGGGUUUGCAUUAAAGAUUAAAUGAGAUAACUAACAUAGGUAAAAUAUGAAAUUGCCUGGCACAGAAUGAAUAUCUUAUAAAUAUCUGUGCUCUUUCUCCCUUUAAUACGUAAUCAUUUUUAACAGAUUCAAGUGAUAAUCCUUACAGAAAAGGGGGCAAAACCCAUUGACCUUCUGUCAAGAAUGGAAGUAAGAGCACAUUGGUAU